rnacentral:lncRNA from 1 species
AGAAAAAAUUAUACAAUAGUUGUAUAAUGUCGUGGAGGAAAUCAGGUGCAACCAAUGAGACUGAGAAAUAAAGAGAUCAAAAUCAUAUAAGGUAGUGUCUUAACUAGGCAUCCUUUCUCCUGGAAUUACCCCCAAUAGUAGAGAAAGGCUCUCACAGGCACAUCCUGCUCAGAAUGAUUGCCACAACCUUCACCAGCACCCAAAUCACCUGCCCAGUGGACACCAGGAUCUCCAUUUACCAAUUCCAGUGCAAUCCCAAAGCCAUCUUCUACUGCGCUUUGGCAAUCAUUUGUCAUAUCUUGUUCCCUGGCCCCAUUUGCUCC